CAGUAGCCACGGUAAAACGAAGGGGGCUAGCGUUGUUCGGAUUUACUGGGCGUAAAGGGCGCGUAGGCGGGCGAAUAAGUCAGGGGUGAAAUCCCAAGGCUCAACCUUGGAACUGCCUUUGAUACUGUUUGUCUUGAGUCCGGGAGAGGUGAGUGGAACUGCGAGUGUAGAGGUGAAAUUCGUAGAUAUUCGCAAGAACACCAGUGGCGAAGGCGGCUCACUGGCCCGGAACUGACGCUGAGGCGCGAAAGCGUGGGGAGCAAAUGGGAUUAGAUACCCCUGUAGUCCCUGUCUCUUAUAC
rnacentral:rRNA from 1 species